AGUCGACGGAACUGUUUUGAAGAUUUCUUCGGAAUGAAUUUGAUUUAGUUUAGUGGCGGACGGGUGAGUAACGCGUGAGUAACCUGCCUUCAAGAGGGGGAUAACAUUCUGAAAAGAAUGCUAAUACCGCAUGACAUAUCGGAAUCACAUGAUUUUGAUAUCAGAGAUUUUAUCGCUUGAAGAUGGACUCGCGUCCGAUUAGUUAGUUGGUGAGGUAACGGCUCACCAAGACCGCGAUCGGUAGCCGGACUGAGGGGUUGAACGGCCACAUUGGGACUGAGACACGGCCCAGACUCCUACGGGAGGCAGCAGUGGGGGAUAUUGCGCAAUGGGGGCAACCCUGACGCAGCAACGCCGCGUGAAGGAUGAAGGUUUUCGGAUUGUAAACUUCUUUUAUUAAGGACGAAAAAUGACGGUACUUAAUGAAUAAGCUCCGGCUAACUACGUGCCAGCAGCCGCGGUAAUACGUAGGGAGCAAGCGUUGUCCGGAUUUACUGGGUGUAAAGGGUGCGUAGGCGGCUUUGCAAGUCAGAUGUGAAAUCUAUGGGCUCAACCCAUAAACUGCAUUUGAAACUGUAGAGCUUGAGUGAAGUAGAGGCAGGCGGAAUUCCCCGUGUAGCGGUGAAAUGCGUAGAGAUGGGG
rnacentral:rRNA from 1 species